rnacentral:rRNA from 1 species
AACGAACGCUGGCGGCAUGCCUAACACAUGCAAGUCGAACGAGAACUUCGGUUCUUGCAGCCCACGGGUGCGUAACGCGUGGGAACCUACCCUUAGGUUCGGAAUCACUCCCCGUAAGGGGUGCUAAUACCGGAUAAUCUCUUCGGACCAAAGAUUUAUCGCCUUUGGAUGGGGCCGCGUUGGCUUAGCUCGUUGGUAGUGGAAAAGCCUACCAAGGCGACGAUUCAUAGCUGGAUGGAGAGGAUGACCAGCCACGCUGGGACUGCGACACAGACUAGACCGGGACGGAGGGGUGCGGAAGGGAAUAUAAGGGAAUGGAGGAUGAUCUGAUGCAGCAAUGCCGGGGAAGAGAGGAUUGCCGUAGGGUUGUAAUGCCCUUUGACACGAGGCGAUAAUGACGGUACCGGGAGAAUAAGCUCCGGCUAACUCCGUG